AACGAACGCUGGCGGCAUGCCUAACACAUGCAAGUCGAACGAAGCCUUCGGGCUUAGUGGCGAACGGGUGCGUAACGCGUGGGAAUCUGCCCCUUGCUUCGGAAUAACAGUUAGAAAUGACUGCUAAUACCGGAUGAAGUCUUCGGACCAAAGAUUUAUCGGCAAGGGAUGAGCCCGCGUAGGAUUAGGUAGUUGGUGGGGUAAAGGCCUACCAAGCCGACGAUCCUUAGCUGGUCUGAGAGGAUGAUCAGCCACACUGGGACUGAGACACGGCCCAGACUCCUACGGGAGGCAGCAGUGGGGAAUAUUGGACAAUGGACGCAAGUCUGAUCCAGCAAUGCCGCGUGAGUGAUGAAGGCCUUAGGGUUGUAAAGCUCUUUUACCAGGGAUGAUAAUGACAGUACCUGGAGAAUAAGCUCCGGCUAACUCCGUG
rnacentral:rRNA from 1 species